GAUAGCUUAACUGGAAGAGCGCUUAGUGCGCGACCGAAAGAAACCGGGUUCGAUCCCCGGCUCGGAACCG
rnacentral:tRNA from 1 species